rnacentral:rRNA from 1 species
UACAGAGGGUGCAAACGUUGUUCGGAAUUACUGGGCGUAAAGCGUGUGUAGGCGGCCUCGUAGGUCGGAUGUGAAAGCUCUCGGCUCAACCGGGAAAGUGCAUUCGAAACCACAAGGCUUGAGUGUCGGAGAGGAAGGCGGAAUUGUCGGUGUAGAGGUGAAAUUCGUAGAUAUCGACAGGAACACCUGCGGCGAAAGCGGCCUUCUGGACGAACACUGACGCUGAGACGA